AGGUAGUUUGUUGAUUAAAACAUCAAUGGAUGCCAUUAUGUAGUCAUUCUGUCCAAGAAUUAUAACCAACUACUUGCAGGCGGGCAAUGACACUAUAGCAUUGGAAAUUUGACAUCAUCAAUCAUAAGUUCUGAAGGCUGGGAAGUCCAAUAUCAAGUUGCUGGCAUCUGGAGAGUGUCUUCCCGUGGCAGAAGAUGAGAGGAAAAAUUGUGUCACUCCCUGGAAUGAAUCAAAUGGAAGUAAACGGAAAAAAAAAAAAAAGAAUUCAAUCAUUCAUAACAGGCAGUGUAUCAGUGAAGAAGAUAAUGAAAAUUAGUUUCAGAUAAACUCAGGUCAGAAUCUCACUCUGGCCACUUGGCUAGACAACUUUGAACAAAUUAUUUUUACUCUUUGGGCCUGUUUUUGCAUCACUGUAGAAGGUUGCUGUUUAAGAAUUCUAUAAGGUAAAGUGUAAUAUAUCUGUUAUGAUUAGCUUUGACCCCAUACAAUAGAAAACACAAAAUAAAAGUGUCUUACA